UUUUACUUUCACGGCUCAACCACCAUUGGCUGUGGAAAUAAAGUCCACAUUUGGCUGACUGUGGUGCAGUUUUCACAGCUGAACCAUGAUAAUGAUGUAAUGAUGCAAUUUGCAUUACUUUGCAAUGUUCUCAGGUGUUAUUAAUCUACUUCUGCUCAUUUCUGGUAAUGUUAUCAAUUUUCUCCUUCUUAUUUCCAUUAAUGGUAUAAAUGUUCUACUGCUGAUUUACAUGAGCGACAUACUGCGUCACAAAGAGGGGGGGUUGGUUCUUGUUAUAAGGCGCUGUUUGAAAGACCAAAGCACGUCAUCUGCUCUACUUUUGGGAUUUACAAACUGUUCAAGCGACUCUGGAAAGACUGAAACAAACAUAUUACUACUAAAUCCACAAUCAAGAAUGGGGAACCAAGUGCCAAAGGAGAGUGACAUGGGCUGCUGCCUCAGAUGUUGCAAAUGUUCUAAAGUCCUGCCUCCAUGCAAAUCGUUUGAUGACUUCUAUAAAUGUUGUAUUGGUGGCCGAGAGGUAUAUGUGUAUAAUGGAGGGCAAUACUACAGACCAGUUGGUUAUGAUGACGCGUAUGAGUGCAGUUGUUGCUUUAAUAAGCAAUAAGCAAAGGUUUAUUAUUAUCUUUUUUCUUUUUCAGACUGUACAUUAUCAAAAAAGUUAAAUCCUAACUGCUUGCUUUGCCAUUGAGGCUCAAUGUCAACUGUAAAUUUAAGACAGGCUUUGUGCUGUUUUUGCUUAUUUGUUUUUAUUUUAGUGACUUUGUGACUAGUUACUUUAGUGGCUUUAAUAUAAUCUGAAUAUAGUACAUUAUAUAACACAACAAAAUAAUUAGAAAUGCUGUUAAAAUAGCAACAAAAAAUGUUCUUUCUGUUCUGGCAAAAAUCCUCAUGUUUUGCAAAAUCAGAUAAAUUGAUAUUUCUAAUUUACCUUUUUUUUUAAGCCAAAGCACAAAGAGAACACAAAGACUCACAAAAUGCUGUAAUAAAGUUUCCUCUCAGACUACA